rnacentral:rRNA from 1 species
GUCUCAGGCCGUAUCAGCCUGAAGGCGCCCGAUCUCGUCUGAUCUCGGAAAAAAAAGACCUGAUUUGAUGUGUUCAGUGAUUUUUAUAUUGAGAAAUGCCACACA